rnacentral:rRNA from 1 species
AGUGAACGCUGGCGGUAGGCCUAACACAUGCAAGUCGAACGGCAGCACAGGAGAGCUUGCUCUCUGGGUGGCGAGUGGCGGACGGGUGAGGAAUACAUCGGAAUCUACUUUUUCGUGGGGGAUAACGUAGGGAAACUUACGCUAAUACCGCAUACGACCUACGGGUGAAAGCAGGGGAUCUUCGGACCUUGCGCGAUUGAAUGAGCCGAUGUCGGAUUAGCUAGUUGGCGGGGUAAAGGCCCACCAAGGCGACGAUCCGUAGCUGGUCUGAGAGAAUGAUCAGCCAAACGGGAACUGAGACACGGUCCAGACUCCUACGGGAGGCAGCAGUGGGGAAUAUUGGACAAUGGGCGCAAGCCUGAUCCAGCCAUACCGCGUGGGAGAAGAAGGCCUUCGGGUUGUAAAGCCCUUUUGUUGGGAAAGAAAUCCAGCUGGUUAAUACCCGGGUGGGAUGACGGUACCCAAAGAAUAAGCACCGGCUAACUUCGUGCCAGCAGCCGCGGUAA